rnacentral:lncRNA from 1 species
GCCAUAAAACAAUGAUGGACGAGACAAUCGAAAUUAGAGAGGUCAAUCGAGAAAAUCCUAGAAGGAAUGACUUUAGUCAAACAAAGUUUAUCAUGACAGGACAAAGAUCAAGAAGGAUGAUUUUGAUUUGAUUGAAAGGUGCAGCCUAAUUCGAGAUUAGACAGUUUUGAAGGAUCAAAUAUCUACUCCAAAUUGUGUGUCAUGCAUUAUUGAAGU